CUGGGUUGGCGCCGGAGCGGCUCCUGAACAGGCUCCCGUAGCCACGCCCCUGGACCUGGGCCGAGCGCGUCCUCUGCACCGCCAGGGCCACCGCCUGGGCGAAGCGGGACGGGGCCGUGCUCACCCUCUUCAGGGGGGACGAGGCGUCCUUCGUUGGGGUCCCCGGACCGCCAGGGGUCUGGGUGGAAGAGGAGGGUGGGGAAGGGGGAGGAAGGGCCGAAGACGACCGGAGCAGGGUGGAUCGUUCGUCUGGCACGCCGUCCUGGUCGUCGUAGGCAACGGGCGGAGGAGGCGGAGGGAAAUGCUCGUCGUCUUCAUCGGGGACUUCGUCGUAGUCCCCUUCCCCCUGGAUCUCCUCCUUUUGGACCCCCUUGUCUUUCACCACCACCGCCUCGUGGACCGACACCUUGGCCUCCGUGUCGCGGACCACCUGGUCCUCCUCCACCUGGGCAGCCCGUGUCUCAGGUUCUGGACCGGGCCGGUCCACCUCCGCGCCCCCUUCUUGAGAUCCGGAGUCUUGCGGUGCGGGACCGGCCACCUCUGCCUGAGGGACGUCUACCUCUCCCUGGACCCCGUCGGAGUCAGCGCUCAGCGAGGUCUGGGCCCCCCCGUCGGCCACGGGACCCCCGGCGGCCGGAGAAGAGGUCCGGGGCUCCGGGCUCCCUGGGGGGUCACCGUCGGCCCGGCUCUCCCCGUCCUCCGGGUCCCACCUGGUGGUCGAUAUCCGGUCGUCCGGGACAACCAGGCCCUGAUCCACCUCGUAGAGGCGGUGCUUCUUUGCGGGCACCACCUUGAACGUGGUCAUCCCCUUCCUCUGCAACGCAUCCCCCCACACCUCUGGGUGUGGGGGGAUGCCACCUUGCCCACCAAUCAGACACCUGGGCCCCAGCAAUGGCUCAUGGGUAAGGGAGACAUCCUCGUCGCCUUCAUCGCCGUGGGGUUUAGAGAAGGAAGCGUCGCCAUGACGUCGGUUCGGCAGCUUCCCAUUGGACAGGGAGGAGUUGAUGAUCUGGGAGAGGACGGAGUGACCCUGAGAGAACACUUUGCCCGCACGCUGGGGUUCGGGCAAAGAGCUCGGGCCCGAGUCGCAGCCGUCGUCCUGGGGUGGUGGCAGGAGCUGGGUGGAAGAGGAGGAGAUGGUCGAAGAGGAGGAGGUUGAUGAAGAGGACGGGAGAGGGGAGCCCGUUCUGCUGCUGUCGGCGGAGUCGCCCUGCGGCCUCAACUCCCAUGUGCGAUCGGAGUUAGAAAUCCC
ensembl:lncRNA